rnacentral:rRNA from 1 species
AACGAACGCUGGCAGCGUGCCUAAUACAUGCAAGUCGAGCGGACAGAAGGGAGCUUGCUCCCGGAAGUUAGCGGCGGACGGGUGAGUAACACGUGGGCAACCUACCCUGUAGAUCGGGAUAACAUCGAGAAAUCGGUGCUAAUACCGGAUAAUCAUUUGAAGUGCAUGCUUCGAAUGUAAAAGAUGGCUCCGGCUAUCACUACGGGAUUGGCCCGCGGCGCAUUAGCUAGUUGGUAAGGUAAUGGCUUACCAAGGCAACGAUGCGUAGCCGACCUGAGAGGGUGAUCGGCCACACUGGGACUGAGACACGGCCCAGACUCCUACGGGAGGCAGCAGUAGGGAAUCUUCCGCAAUGGACGAAAGUCUGACGGAGCAACGCCGCGUGAGUGAUGAAGGUCUUCGGAUCGUAAAGCUCUGUUGUUAGGGAAGAACAAGUGCCGUUUGAAUAAGGCGGCACCUUGACGGUACCUAACCAGAAAGCCACGGCUAACUACGUGCCAGCCGCCGCCGUAAGAC